rnacentral:rRNA from 1 species
AUUGAACGCUGGCGGCAGGCCUAACACAUGCAAGUCGAACGGUAACAGGAAGCAGCUUGCUGCUUUGCUGACGAGUGGCGGACGGGUGAGUAAUGUCUGGGAAACUGCCCGAUGGAGGGGGAUAACUACUGGAAACGGUAGCUAAUACCGCAUAAUGUCGCAAGACCAAAGAGGGGGACCUUCGGGCCUCUUGCCAUCGGAUGUGCCCAGAUGGGAUUAGCUUGUUGGUGAGGUAACGGCUCACCAAGGCGACGAUCCCUAGCUGGUCUGAGAGGAUGACCAGCCACACUGGAACUGAGACACGGUCCAGACUCCUACGGGAGGCAGCAGUGGGGAAUAUUGCACAAUGGGCGCAAGCCUGAUGCAGCCAUGCCGCGUGUAUGAAGGAGGCCUUCGGGUUGUAAAGUACUUUCAGCGGGGAGGAAGGGAUUGUGGUUAAUAACCGCAGUCAUUGACGUUACCCGCAGAAGAAGCACCGGCUAACUCCGUGCCAGCAGCCGCUGUAAAAC